UUGAACGCUGGCGGCAUGCUUUACACAUGCAAGUCGAACGGUAACAGGGAGCUUGCUCCGCUGACGAGUGGCGAACGGGUGAGUAAUGCAUCGGAACGUACCCAGUCGUGGGGGAUAACGUAGCGAAAGUUACGCUAAUACCGCAUACGUCCUGAGGGAGAAAGCGGGGGACCGUAAGGCCUCGCGCGAUUGGAGCGGCCGAUGUCGGAUUAGCUAGUUGGUGGGGUAAAGGCCUACCAAGGCGACGAUCCGUAGCGGGUCUGAGAGGAUGAUCCGCCACACUGGGACUGAGACACGGCCCAGACUCCUACGGGAGGCAGCAGUGGGGAAUUUUGGACAAUGGGCGCAAGCCUGAUCCAGCCAUGCCGCGUGCAGGAUGAAGGCCUUCGGGUUGUAAACUGCUUUUGUACGGAACGAAAAGACUCCUUCUAAUAAAGGGGGUCCAUGACGGUACCGUAAGAAUAAGCACCGGCUAACUACGU
rnacentral:rRNA from 1 species